rnacentral:lncRNA from 1 species
CCCCUCUAGAUGCCAAGUUCCAUGAGGACAGCAGGUCGUGAUAGUUCUAAAGGGUAGAACAACUCAGGUCUGUGAGAAGGGAAGGAAAAUAGCUCAAGGAAUUAAGGAGCCUUAGAGGCCCAGGAAGGUAUCCAGUAGUGCUCACUGCAAAAAUGUGAGCUUAAGCCAGAGAAGUCUCAGGCUUCAUAGGAACCCACAGGAGCAGAGUCCUGCUAUGUUGUCCAGGCCGGCCUUGAACUUCUGG